rnacentral:rRNA from 1 species
UGGCGGCGCGUUUAAGCAGUGUAAGUCGAGCGGCAAGGGCCUUCGGGCCCCUAGAGCGGCGGACGGGUGAGUAACACGUGGACAAUCUGCCCCCCGGCCCGGGAUAGCCCAGGGAACCUGGAUUAAUACCGGAUGAGACGGGACCCGCGAUGGCGGGACCCGGGAAGGCGCUGCGGCGCCGCCGGGGGAUGAGUCUGCGCCCAUUAGCUAGACGGCGGGGUAACGGCCCACCGUGGCGACGAUGGGUAGCCGGCCUGAGAGGGUGGACGGCCACAUUGGAACUGAGACACGGUCCAGACUCCUACGGGAGGCAGCAGCUAAGAAUCUUCCGCAAUGGGCGAAAGCCUGACGGAGCCGACGCCGCGUGAACGAAGAAGGCCGUGAGGUUGUAAAGUUCUUUUCGGGGAGGGGAACAACCGUGGCAGGGAAUGGCCGCGGGAUGACGUGAAUCCCGGAAUAAGCCCCGGCUAACUACGUGCCAGCCGCAGC